rnacentral:tRNA from 1 species
GGCAACGUAGCCAAGUGGUUAAGGCGGCGGUCUGCAAAAUCGCUACUCAAGGGUUCAAAUCCCUUCGUUGCCUCCA